CACUUCUGGUCAUUCUCAGCUCCCACCCGCCUCCUCGCAUGGAGAUCGUCUACGUCUCCGGAUCGACAUCGAGCGCUUCCUCUGACGCCUCCUUGCAUGGAGAUCGUCUACGUCUACGGAUCGACAUCGAGCGCUUCCUCUGAAUCGCCCGGCAAUGGCCUACUGAGCAGCGGCAACAGCUGGCUUGUCUUUGAGCGCAUGAUUUCGUCGCUGAUUCCGGCGACGAGGUGAUUGCCGUCCGUCUGCGUAGGGCAACGUCGAAUCUUUGGCACUUGUCAACCUCUGGCAUCCGUCAGCGACUUUGAGAUAACUUUGCUUAGAGAGGCAUGCAAUUUAUUUUGCCUCGUUUGUUCUGUCUUCGUUGUUCCAGUUUUAGAGAAAGCAGGAGAACACUGAAU
rnacentral:lncRNA from 1 species